rnacentral:tRNA from 2 species
GCAGUCGUGGCCGAGUGGUUAAGGCGAUGAACUAGAAAUCCAUUGGGGUUUCCCCGCACAGGUUCUAAUCCUAUCGACUGCG